GACGAACGCUGGCGGCGUGCUUAACACAUGCAAGUCGAACGGAAAGUCCCUGCUUUUUGGGGGUGCUCGGCGUGCGAACUGGUGAGUAACACUUAGGUAACCUGUCCUUGACUUUGGGAUAACUUCAGGAAACUUGGUCUAAUACCGGAUAGGAGCUCCUGCUGCAUGGUGGGGGUUGGAUAGUUUCGGCGGUUGGUGAUGGACUCGCGGCUUAUCAGAUUGGUGGUUGGGUAGUGGCUUACCAAGGCUUUGACAGGUAGCCGGCCUGAGAGGGUGACCGGACCAAUUGGGACUGAGAUACGGCCCAGACUAGUCCGGGAGGCAGCAGUGGAGAGUAGUGCACAAUGGGAGGGACGAUGAUGUAGCCCAGCAGCGUGGGGGGUGACGGCAUUGGGGUUGUAUACUGAAUUCGUCUGUGCCGAAGCGUGAAUGACGGUAAUGGGUAAAGAAGCACCGGCUAACUCCGUG
rnacentral:rRNA from 1 species